GGGGGUGUAGCUCAGCUGGGAGAGCGCUGCGUUCGCAACGCAGAGGUCAUGGGUUCGAACCCCACCAUCUCCACCA
rnacentral:tRNA from 1 species